AAACGCCAUUUUGUGCGUCAUCUCUGUCUGUUCGCUUUCCCGCUUACUCCGGUCGCCAUUUUCAAGUAUGACGAAAGCGCGUGACGGCGAUUCGGACUUCAAGCAGGGGCGGACCCAGGCCCUCGGUUGAGAGAGGGGGUGGGGUGAAUCGCCCCCCACCCCCAGAUCCGCCACUGACUUAUCCCCUCCACUUACGAAGAAACCUUUCUUUGUCGCCUUACUAUGCGUCAUCCUUAAUCAUCAGCACCUCUUCUGGGUGUAAAUUUCUAACGGCGCAUGUCGCCUUCACCCAGGCAUGCGCAACCAAACGACAUAACAGAAGUCGCCAGGACAGUUGUUUGAACUGGUGGUAAGCGUACCACUAACACGAAACAACCAAUGUCAUGUUAGAAAGUCAGAAAGUGUUACCGUAAUCGCGCGCUGGUUUUCCCUUAUCGCCAGCGCAACUCUGCUGACCUGUUACCAUGCCAGAUAAGACUGAAUUUUUCUUGUUUCGCUUCGGAAUGCAUGAGGCUGAUAAGCUAGAGCAAGCGACAGCAAGAUACAAGGAUUGCUCCUCCUCUUCGGUGGGGUCUUGCCCAAUGGCGGCAGCUCUUUGUUACCAUGGCAACGUCCUCCAGAAGACACUCCGAUACUCCUCGAAGUAGGGAACUUAUCAGUCGCAACCUAGCUUCUAACAGACAUCGCUCAUUCAAUCCACGAAAAGAAAACGGGAAAAACCAGAUAUGUCACAUUCCCAGUCUCUAGGUAAAAAAAAUCGGAUUGCGAGGGAGGGGGUUAAAGAACAGGUAAUGAAAUUGAAAUCGCUCGGGAGCAAAAAUCGUGCUGACGCAGACUCCAACCUACACACUCCAGAUUUCCAGUCAGGGAUGCUUGUUCACAACAGAUUAACCAUUCUUCUGAAAGCUCAUCUCCCCAAAUGCAAGCUGGAAAUUUAUAUCCCUAGAAGAAAUUGCACAGAGAAAAUUUGCAUCCAUUCACUUUUAUUCCCCCGCGAUGGGAGCAAAUUGGUGCCAUUUUUCUGUGAGCUCUCGUAAAGAGUUAUUACUUUCAUGGAAGGACCACUUAAAAACCUGCGACAUUUAAGUAAGUCCCGUCUAAUGGAGAGAAGAAAAAAAAAAAAAACAUGUACACACACACACACGUAUCUACAGCAUUUCCCUUUGCUUAAACCGACCAAUGCGGCACAACCAAAGAUCCGUGCCGGACUCCUGUCCCGACAGUCCGGAAAUGAGAGGCCCAAGGCGCACACCAAGAGUGAUGUUUUCCAAUGUGAUGACGAUGUAGCUUUAUUGACGCAGGUUGCACCCACAAUGAAAGCCCGCCCCACCCCAUAACUUAAACCUCGUCAAACAAAAACACAUUUCUUCGUCCCAGAAUUUUUUCGGGGGACCGCAACUGCGGGGGCCGAACGGGGCCCUCUGCGGGUUGAUGAAACGGGACGGCCCCAUCUCCUUUCCGCUGGCCACCGCGUCGUCUCGGAUUACUUUUUUCGUGGGUACCCAAUACCAGAAACUCCGCAGUGCCUUUUUUUUUUCUCUUCCGCGACGUGCGCAACAAAUCCGCAAUUUUUUUUUCCUUUCUUUUUCGACGGCGGACGAUGAUGAUGUCCAGGGGAAAACCGGAGAUGGUGGCUGUGAUGAAAGCGAGCAGAAUUGUCAAACAGGACGUCUUCCCCCCCUUCCCAGAAACCCCCCCAAAAGUCAUUAUGCGUCAUCUUCAUCGUCGUCAUCUUCCGCGCCGUC